rnacentral:lncRNA from 1 species
CCCAAAUUGCUGUGAUUACAGGCUUGAGCCACCAUUUUCAGCCCAGAAUUCAUUUCUUUUUUUUCCUCCAGAAUGAGUAUAGGAAAAAAAAAAAAAAAACUUUACUUUCUAAAACAGAGGUAGCCACAGGUUUCUAAGUAGUGACUGGACGUCUUAGAGAAAAUGGUGUUCAGAUGACAUGAACUUGGUUUUGAGAACCAUCGUAAUGCAAGAAGCACUCUCCUUAGGGUCCGGGUGUUGGCUGAGACUCAUAUAGAAGUAAAGUGCUCUGAAGGCUUUCUUUGUAUCUGUUUCUUUUGCUGUGGAGCUUCCCUACUGCCCCAGUUUUGUACUAAAGUUUUAGUAAAGGUCAAACCGGGCUGCUCAAAUGUAUAGAAUAAAUUGCAUUUGACAUCAGUCACAAUUACCAAUUCAUCUAUUCAGUCAACUACAUAUCAAGUGAUUACUAUUAAUAUAUAUCUGUCAAUGUUUUAGGUGCUGGGGAUAGAGCAGUGACAGAAAAGUCACUAUCCUCAGAGUGGUUUCAUUCUAAGGGAGGGGAGAUUGAAAACAGAAACAAAGCAAGCAAGGGAAAACAAAUGAAGGAGGUGUUGAUAUGGGGACUCUGGGGGUGGGUCAAGGCUAAAGUUGCUCUUUUAUUUAGAGGGGUAGGGAGGGCCUCUCUGAUGAGGUGACAUUGGAGCAGUGACCAAUCAGGGAAAAAGAGAUCCAGACCUGACCCCCAUCAGGAUUUAGGCAAAUGCAACUUUAAGGAAAGAUGGGUGGUUAGUCACUUGUAUAUGCUAAUGUUAAUAAUUAACUAAGUUUAUAAUUGGCCAAAAAUGAUUUUUGCUAAAAAUAUCAGGCAACUUAUACUCACGUUCCACAUUUUGGAAUUAUCUUAAGGAUAGGUCAGAAAUGUGGACAUAGGCCAGGCAUGGUGGCCC